GGCAGAGGGGAGGGGAGGAAGAGAGGUGAGGGUGUUGAGCUUCCUGACUGCCUGGGAAAUGAAGCUGUUUGCCAGUCAGGUGGAACAGGCUUGGAUGCUCCGGUACCGUCUCCCACAUGGCACGAGGCUGAAGACGCUGUGUGAUGGGUGGCUGAGGUCACCCACAAUGCUGGUUGCUUUUGGCACGUCUGCCAUCUAUACCAGGCAAAUCUGGUCUCUAUCAAAAGUGAAGAAGAGAAGAACUUCUUGAGAGCUUUGGUUGGAAGACUGAAUAAAAACAUCCAGACUAUCUGGACUGGGGGCACUGAUGCUGUUGAGGAUCAUGAAUGGCAGUGGACUGACGGCACCAUGUUCAACAGCAUCAUCUAGAAA